rnacentral:lncRNA from 1 species
CCUGAGGACACGGGUGAACACAGAGCUCGGGGGACACGCCCAUCCAGCGUCAUGAAAGCCAGGCAUGCGAGCCAACUACUUGUACCUGCAGGACAGGAACAGUGAGGAUAGAGCGAUGGGCACAGACCUCGCCCCGAGGACAGAGGUCAUUGUCACCAAAGACCCCUGAGAGAGGACGGCGACUGGCCUUGAAGGGUCGAUGAUGGACAUUCCUUCGUAUGUGGCCCCUCUUUUGGGAUGUUCGCUUCUAACUCCAGAGCUUGGAGACUCAUCUGAAGGUUGAAUUUAGGCCCCAU